GACGAACGCUGGCGGCGUGCUUAACACAUGCAAGUCGAACGGUGAUGACAGGGCUUGCCUUGUCUGAUCAGUGGCGAACGGGUGAGUAAAACGUGAGUAACCUGCCCCAGACUCUGGAAUAACCCCGGGAAACCGAAGCUAAUUCCGGAUAGGACCCUUCUGCGCAUGUGCGUGGGGUGGACAGUGUUGCGGUCUGGGAUGGGCUCGCGGCCUAAAAUCUUGUUGGUGAGGUAGUGGCUCACCAAGGCGACGACGGGUAGCCUGCCUGAGAGGGCGAACGGCCACACUGGGACUGAGACACGGCCCAGACUCCUACGGGAGGCAGCAGUGGGGAAUAUUGCACAAUGGGCGAAAGCCUGAUGCAGCGACGCCGCGUGAGGGAUGACGGCCUUCGGGUUGUAAACCUCUUUCAGCAGGGAAGAAGCGCAAGUGACGGUACCUGCAGAAGAAGCACCGGCUAACUACGUGCCAGCCGCCGCGGUAACAC
rnacentral:rRNA from 1 species